rnacentral:rRNA from 1 species
ACCAGACUCCUACGGGAGGCAGCAGUGGGGGAUAUUGCACAAUGGGGGGAACCCUGAUGCAGCGACGCCGCGUGGGUGAAGAAGCGCCUCGGCGCGUAAAGCCCUGUCAGCAGGGAAGAAAAUGACGGUACCUGAAGAAGAAGCCCCGGCUAACUACGUGCCAGCAGCCGCGGUAAUACGUAGGGGGCAAGCGUUAUCCGGAUUUACUGGGUGUAAAGGGGGCGCAGACGGCGAUGCAAGCCAGGAGUGAAAGCCCGGGGCCCAACCCCGGGACUGCUCUUGGAGCUGCGUGGCUGGAGUGCAGGAGGGGCAGGCGGAAUUCCUGGUGUAGCGGUGAAAUGCGUAGAUAUCAGGAGGAACACCGGUGGCGAAGGCGGCCUGCUGGACUGCAACUGACGUUGAGGCCCGAAAGCGUGGGGAGCAAACAGGAUUAGAUACCCGUGUA